rnacentral:rRNA from 1 species
AUUGAACGCUGGCGGCAUGUCUUACACAUGCAAGUCGAACAGCAGCACGGGAGCAAUCCUGGUGGCGAGUGGCGAACGGGUGAGUAAUGUAUCGGAACGUGCCCAGUCGUGGGGGAUAACGCAGCGAAAGCUGUGCUAAUACCGCAUACGAUCUAUGGAUGAAAGCGGGGGAUCGCAAGACCUCGCGCGAUUGGAGCGGCCGAUAUCAGAUUAGGUAGUUGGUGGGGUAAAGGCCCACCAAGCCGACGAUCUGUAGCUGGUCUGAGAGGACGACCAGCCACACUGGAACUGAGACACGGUCCAGACUCCUACGGGAGGCAGCAGUGGGGAAUUUUGGACAAUGGGCGCAAGCCUGAUCCAGCAAUGCCGCGUGCAGGAUGAAGGCCUUCGGGUUGUAAACUGCUUUUGUACGGAACGAAACGGUUCUCUCUAAUACAGGGGGCUAAUGACGGUACCGUAAGAAUAAGCACCGGCUAACUACGUGCCAGCAGCCGCAGUAA